CCUACGGGAGGCUGCAGUGAGGAAUAUUGGUCAAUGGCCGAGAGGCUGAACCAGCCAAGUCGCGUGAGGGAAGAAUGUCCUAUGGAUUGUAAACCUCUUUUGUCAGGGAGCAAAGUCACCCACGUGUGGGUGUUGGAGAGUACCUGACGAAAAAGCAUCGGCAAACUCCGGGCCAGCAGCCGCGGUAAUACGGAGGAUGCGAGGGUUGUCCGGAUUUCUUGGGUUUAAGGGGUGCGUAGGCGGGUUAUCAAGUCAGCGGUAAAAUCGUGGAGUGCAACCCCAUCCAGCCGUUGAAACUGAUGAUCUGGAGUGGGCGAGAGGUAUGCGGAAUGCGUGGUGUAGCGGUGAAAUGCAUAGAUAUCACGAAGAACUCCGAUUGCGAAGGCAGCAUACCGGCGCCCGACUGACGCUGAAGCACGAAAGCGUGGGUAGCGAACAGGAUUAGAUACCCCAGUAGUC
rnacentral:rRNA from 1 species